AACAGCAUUUGCUCACUUCCUGUUUCUGUGUCACAUUUUGGCAAUUCUCGCAAUAUUUCAAACUUGUUCACUAUUAUUACAUUUGAACUGCUGCAAUCUCAUGAUAACACUUGAAUGGAUGAAGAGUUGCUUCUCAUGCACGAGCAAAGAAAGCGGUUUCUUGAGAUGGACUCUACUCCCGGUGAAGACGCUGGGAAGACUGUCGAAAUGACAACAAAGGAUUGACAACCUCAUACGCUUCGGUGAUAAAGCAGCGGCAAGGUUUGAGAGGACUGACCCCAAAUCUGAAAGAAGUUCUACUGUGGGUAAAAGGUGUCAAACAGGAUCGCAUGCUACAGAGGAAUCGUCUGUGAAAGGAAGAGUCAAUCGGUGUGGCAAACUUCACAGCUGUCGUAUUUUCAGAAACAGGCACAGCCACCCCAGACUUUAGCCACCAGCACCCCGAGCAGACAGAAGCCAGCAACACCCAGGCAAGACCCUCCACUUAGGACUCCCUGAAAGCAUCCUUUCCCUGAGGUGCUGGACAAAUGACUUAGUCACGUGAACCCAAGCAAGAGCAAAAGGAAAACAACAACAACAACAAUCGGUCAAUAUCUCAAAGAUGCUGUUUGCUACGUAGGUGAGCAUCCUUCUUCCCGGGGGAGUGGAGAGGAGCUAGUGGGAAAGGAUUCAGGGCUCCGAGACUCCAGCUGUGUCCUCCUUGGAGAUAAAAGUUGACCACCAGCAGUUCGUUCCCUUAGCAAGUAAGGAGAGAGGGAUAAACUUUUUGAAAAACACGUUUAUUUUAAAAUUUUACAUCAUCUUUGGAUAAUUCAUGAUCGGAUCAGGCACGGUGCAGACACUUCUGAGAUCGAGGUCUCCAGACCAACGUGAACAGUUUCUGCGAUUGAAGAGCCAGGGGACCUCAGGAUAUAGGAUGGAGCGAUGGCUACUGACGAAGACGCGACCCCCUCAAGACGGGGACUUUCCAAACGCAGCGUGCAGUCACCAUUUCUAAAUUAUCUGUCGCAAACAUUAAACAUCUUACCAGACCAACAAUAAUACCCCUAUCUUAUCUGCAGUUUACUAGUUUCCA